rnacentral:lncRNA from 12 species
AUGGCCUGGAGGACAGCCUGGAGGACAGCCUGGAGGAGGAUGGCCUGGAGGAGGAUGGCCUGGAGGACAGCCUGGAGGACAGCCUACAGGGGGACGGGGGGCUGGAGCCGCAGCCCCCGGGGGCCCAGCGCCUGGACCGGGCAGUGCCCUGUGGGGACCGCCUCCCGGGACAGCCCCACCAGGCCCCUCUGUAGCUCCUGCUGGCCCCGAGCAUGGCAGGAAGGCCCCGGGGAGCACGGUGUCCCCGCCCAGGGCCCCGGAGCCCCUCCUGUGCGGACCCAGGCCAGGAGCUCGGGCUGGCAGGGGGCCCGGGCCUGGGAGGCACCGGCUCCAUUCUCGGGGCGCUCGGAGAUCUGGGGCAGAGGCCAGGGUGCGGGGACACGGUUGCAGAGGCCCCCGGAGCCGGGGGGUGAGGGCCUGAGAGCGCAUCCGGCCCGGGGAAGGGACGGAGCCUUGAGGGGCAGAGGGGGGUCCUGCGGGGCAGCCGUGUGCUCAGGGUGCCACCCACCGCUGCACCCCUGUCCCUCGUCUGCUGCCUUGGUCAGGGGGCGAUGGGCCUGUGGGGCGGGUGCUGAGCAUCUGCGAGACCCUGCUGUCCCUCAGCCGCCACCGUCCGGGGGACCGAAGCUCAGGGUCCCCAUGGUCGUGGCUGUUCCACUACUGUCUCAGGCCGGGCGGAGGCCUCCCCUCUUCCUGCUGCUCCGAGAUGGCAGUCACCUCGUCACACGGCCUAAGAGGGGACCCUGGCUCCAGUCCCCCCCGAGGAGGGGGCCCCAGGCCAGCGUCUUCUCCACUCUGGCCUCAGCCUCCUCAUCGGGAAGUCGUGGCCCAGCUCCAGGAUGUGGAGCGGCUGGGUGGCCGGGGGAGGGGGUCAGGUCCUGGAGGGUGCAGGACCUGGGAGCAGGUGCUGGGGGGCAGGUGGGGUUGGGUCCUGGGGGGUGGGGGCCGAGUGCUGGGGGGCCGGGGGCGUGUGUGGAGAACAGGCCGUGGGGCUCCGCAGCCAGGCGCAGAGCGUCGUGUCACCCGGGCCUCAGGAGACCGCAGCCGCACCUGCCCGCACCUGCCCGGACGCAGAGCCCUCCCCGCGGGUCGCUGCCCCGCCCCAGCCAGUGA